CCUACGGGUGACAGCAGUGGGGAAUAUUGGGCAAUGGGCGCAAGCCUGACCCAGCAACGCCGCGUGAAGGAAGAAGGCUUUCGGGUUGUAAACUUCUUUUUUCAGGGACGAAGAAAGUGACGGUACCUGAGGAAUAAGCCACGGCUAACUACGUGCCAGCAGCCGCGGUAAUACGUAGGUGGCAAGCGUUAUCCGGAUUUACUGGGUGUAAAGGGCGUGUAGGCGGGAAAGCAAGUCAGAUGUGAAAACCAUGGGCUCAACCUGUGGCCUGCAUUUGAAACUGUUUUUCUUGAGUACUGGGGAGGCAGACGGAAUUCCUCGUGUAGCGGUGAAAUGCGUAGAUAUGAGGAGGAACACCAGUGGCGAAGGCGGUCUGCUGGACAGCAACUGACGCUGAGGCGCGAAAGCGUGGGGAGCAAACAGGAUUAGAUACCCCUGUAGUC
rnacentral:rRNA from 1 species